CCCAUCUUGGCUGUAGCUCGGUACAGAGCAUCUGCUCUGUACACAGAAGGUCCCGGGUUCAAUCCCUGGCAUCUCCAGGUAGGA